GACGAACGCUGGCGGCGUGCCUAACACAUGCAAGUCGAGCGAAUGAAGUUCCUUCGGGAAUGGAUUUAGCGGCGGACGGGUGAGUAACACGUGGGCAACCUGCCUCAUAGAGGGGAAUAGCCUUCCGAAAGGGAGAUUAAUACCGCAUAAGAUUGUAGUACCGCAUGAUACAGCAAUUAAAGGAGCAAUCCGCUAUGAGAUGGGCCCGCGGCGCAUUAGCUGGUUGGUGAGGUAACGGCUCACCAAGGCGACGAUGCGUAGCCGACCUGAGCGGGUGAUCGGCCACAUUGGGACUGAGACACGGCCCAGACUCCUACGGGAGGCAGCAGUGGGGAAUAUUGCACAAUGGGGGAAACCCUGAUGCAGCAACGCCGCGUGAGUGAUGACGGCCUUCGGGUUGUAAAGCUCUGUCUUCAGGGACGAUAAUGACGGUACCUGAGGAGGAAGCCACGGCUAACUACGUGCCAGCCGCCGCAGUAA
rnacentral:rRNA from 1 species